CCUACGGGAGGCAGCAGUAGGGAAUAUUGGGCAAUGGAUGCAAGUCUGACCCAGCCAUGCCGCGUGCCGGAUGAAGGCCCUCAGGGUUGUAAACGGCUUUUAUUCGGGAAGAAGAGCAGGGAUGCGUCCCUGUGUGACGGUACCGAAUGAAUAAGCACCGGCUAACUCCGUGCCAGCAGCCGCGGUAAUACGGAGGGUGCGAGCGUUGUCCGGAUUUAUUGGGUUUAAAGGGUGCGUAGGUGGCUUUUUAAGUCAGUGGUGAAAUACAGCCGCUCAACGGUUGAGGUGCCAUUGAUACUGAAAAGCUUGAAACAAGUGGAGGCUGCCGGAAUGGGUGGUGUAGCGGUGAAAUGCAUAGAUAUCAUCCAGAACACCGAUUGCGAAGGCAGGUGGCUACGUUUGAUUUGACACUGAGGCACGAAAGCAUGGGGAGCAAACAGGAUUAGAUACCCUGGUAGUCCAUGCCGUAAACGAUGAGGACUCGCUGUUGGGCUGUCAAGGUUCNGCGCGUAGGAACGUUAACGUCCUCCACCGNGGAGUACGCCGGCGACGUAGAACGACGAAGAAGUUAGACGGCGUGAGACGUGCCGACGGACGACGACGAGGGAGGAGG
rnacentral:rRNA from 1 species